CCAGACUCCUACGGGAGGCAGCAGUGGGGAAUAUUGCACAAUGGGCGGAAGCCUGAUGCAGCAACGCCGCGUGCGGGAUGACGGCCUUCGGGUUGUAAACCGCUUUCGCCUGUGACGAAGCGUGAGUGACGGUAAUGGGUAAAGAAGCACCGGCUAACUACGUGCCAGCAGCCGCGGUGAUACGUAGGGUGCGAGCGUUGUCCGGAUUUAUUGGGCGUAAAGGGCUCGUAGGUGGUUGAUCGCGUCGGAAGUGUAAUCUUGGGGCUUAACCCUGAGCGUGCUUUCGAUACGGGUUGACUUGAGGAAGGUAGGGGAGAAUGGAAUUCCUGGUGGAGCGGUGGAAUGCGCAGAUAUCAGGAGGAACACCAGUGGCGAAGGCGGUUCUCUGGGCCUUUCCUGACGCUGAGGAGCGAAAGCGUGGGGAGCGAACAGGCUUAGAUACCCUGGUAGUCCACGCUGUAAACGGUGGGUACUAGGUGUGGGGUCCAUUCCACGGGUUCCGUGCCGUAGCUAACGCUUUAAGUACCCCGCCUGGGGAGUACGGCCGCAAGGCUAAAACUCAAAGGAAUUGACGGGGGCCCGCACAAGAAGG
rnacentral:rRNA from 1 species